AGAGGCCAAAUGAAAUGAUGCACUUCAGGGCACUUCAAAAUAAAAAUAAAAAUAGCAAAUAUAAUUUAGGCAUAGAACAUUCCUGAACUAAUUUAAUUGCAUAUUUCUUUAAAGCAGACAACCACCUGGAAGGAGUCGUAACAGCAAGAGCAAAUCGAUUUUGGCUAUACGCAUGUCCUGCUUUACCGGCCUACAGAUUACAUGUGUAAUGUAUAAUCAAUCACACUAUGUGGAGUGUGCAUAUAUCCCUCCAUCUUUUAUUAACCCUUAUUUCUCUCCUGAAGACAUUUUCAUAUAUCUCAACAUGCGUCAUCAAGUCAAAAGAGAAAGGAUGAAUGUACUAAACGAAUUUUAUUACAUGUACUGCUAAAAAUAAUCACCAAAUCAUAAAUGGUAAAAAGAAAAAAGAAGAAGAAAACUAAACAGAC